rnacentral:rRNA from 1 species
UACGUAGGGUGCAAGCGUUAUCCGGAUUUAUUGGGCGUAAAGGGCGCGCAGGCGGCCACCAGCAGUGGCCCGUGGAAUCUCUCCGCUCAACGGAGAGAGGCCGGGCCAUACGGGGUGGCUUGGGGCAGGCAGAGGCAUGCAGAACGGGCGGAGUAGGGGUGAAAUCCGUAGAGACCGUCCGGAAUACCAGUGGCGAAGGCGGCAUGCUGGGCCUGAAGCCGUAAGGCUGAACCCGACGCUCGGGCGCGAAAGCGUGGGGAGCGAACGGA